rnacentral:rRNA from 1 species
CCUUAGUAACGGCGAGUGAAGCGGCAAAAGCUCAAAUUUGAAAUCUGGCACCUUCGGUGUCCGAGUUGUAAUUUGAAGAAGGUAACUUUGGAGUUGGCUCUUGUCUAUGUUCCUUGGAACAGGACGUCACAGAGGGUGAGAAUCCCGUGCGAUGAGAUGCCCAAUUCUAUGUAAAGUGCUUUCGAAGAGUCGAGUUGUUUGGGAAUGCAGCUCUAAGUGGGUGGUAAAUUCCAUCUAAAGCUAAAUAUUGGCGAGAGACCGAUAGCGAACAAGUACAGUGAUGGAAAGAUGAAAAGAACUUUGAAAAGAGAGUGAAAAAGUACGUGAAAUUGUUGAAAGGGAAGGGCUUGAGAUCAGACUUGGUAUUUUGCGAUCCUUUCCUUCUUGGUUGGGUUCCUCGCAGCUUACUGGGCCAGCAUCGGUUUGGAUGGUAGGAUAAUGACUAAGGAAUGUGGCUCUACUUCGGUGGAGUGUUAUAGCCUUGGUUGAUACUGCCUGUCUAGACCGAGGACUGCGUCUUUUGACUAGGAUGUUGGCAUAAUGAUCUUAAGCCACCCGUCUGAAAACCCGGGACACACA